CAUCUAGCCAAUUACUUUCCAUGUGCUUGCAGCACUACAUAUCGAAAUCUUCUUCGAAACGCAUUCGAUCCUUCUUCAGCAAAAUCCAUACCUCACUGACAUACAACGCAAUCCUACAAAUGUCCACCAAUAAAGCAAAAAUUCUCAAUUUUGGACUGACCUCAAAUAAUAAAACCUACAUUUUAUUAAUCGGCGCACGCGCCUCGUUACAACCAUUGUGUUCAUCCAUUUUCAAUACUCGUCGACAUUAGUUUACUAACUCUGGCCGUGCGUAGUCGCGUCGAGAUAAUUGUUUAACAACGGAAAAUCGUGACGUUACCAACAGUCCAUAAUGUGAAUAUAAAACACACUAUAUCACCUCAUAAAAUGGGAGUCUGUGAUGUGACAAGGUGAAAAUUUAUAAAAGGAUUACGCAGAACGAUGUGGUCCUACUCCAGUGUAGACAUCCCAGGGCCCAGAUUGAGCCGGUCCGACCGCUUCAAGAUCUACCUAUCAGAGUGCGUGGUCUGUUUCUGCAUUGUCUUCUUCAUCGUCUGUGUUGGCCUGUUGCUGUACCUGUUCUUCCAUUUGUAUGGCACCGUCUCUAAUGCUGGCAAACUGGCUGGAAAGCUGGUCGAAAGUUAGAAUUUAUUUUUAAUUAUUGAUCCUGGGAGCUUUCGAUUAGAUUUAAAUAGUUCAUUGUUCAUUAGGACAUAAGCGUGUCAAUGUUGGACAUACAUGCGAGGAUUUUCGCGCGACGUUAAAUGGAGUGCGAUAUUAAAGCUGUAUAUUUAACUUCUUGUUAUUAUGUACUUUUAACAUGUGUUAUUUGCACAAUAAAAAUAUUACAAACAAACAAACAAAGCCGAGUGUUAAACGAUCGCCUGUGUCAUACGACUUUUUGUACAGGUUGAAAAAUGUUGAACAAAACGUUAGUGCUGAAACAUUUUGAGCUAGCGUGUUCGAAAAAUGUAUGUAAAUAUUUUGAGUAGUUGAACAAAUGAAUGUGUCAAAAAUAAUUAUGCUUAACGGCGAAUAUAAUGUACAUAUAUAGAUGUUGUUAUAGACAAUUAUAUAGACGAUUUGGAAGCACGACGCCUACACUAUCUAUUAUUAGAACUCAUAUUUUCUUCGGAUCAAAGUAAAAGGGGACGAUUCUGAGAACCUGUAUUGAUUACACAGUGAGGGCACCUACCAUAACCUAGUUAGGAGGCUAGCUGGAAAUGUAUAUAUACAAGCUAUUAAAAUGACCAUAUAAUCCUUACCCUUACAGAUUAUAAAAAUAAGUACCCCUAUCGCGUCUUUAGGUAAAGACGCGAUAGGGGUAUAUAUCUGUAUGAACGCCAUAAAAUCAAGAACAAAUGUAAUAAUUUUUGUAUAUUUUUCACCAUAGAUAGUGUGUUUGUAUUGUAGUAUCAAGAGGAUGGUUUGGACGCUUUAAAUUCCAUGGCUGCUAGUUCAUCAUGUGUGAACAAAAAAAUAGCAACAUUUUUUCGCCAAAAUACGUCCUCACAAAAAUGAUCAUUAUAUUUUUACAACGAUAACUUUGCUAGAUUGGCCAAUGAAUGUUAAUAGAUGAAUUUAUAGCUAGAUUUUUUUAUAUAAAGUUAUUUUAGCGUAGGCAUCACUAAGAUUGAUUGCUAGUCUAGAAUGAAUAAUAAUACGUUCUUAUAAUGUAUAUCUCAUAAUAUGUGAUAUUUUAUAUCGAUUAUUUACUUUUGUAAAAUUGUAAACAAUAUGCCAAAUAGCUUGAAGAUGAAAGAUAAGAUAGAUAUUACUUAUUAAACUGUUAUCCUUUUUGAAUAUCUGAUAAAUAUAUGAUUAAAUAAAAUAAAACAAAAGUUGUGGUCGUAAUUUUGUUUUGAUUUUCAGUACUUACAUACCACCACAUGCACACUAAAGGCUAUAUUAUGCCAUAGAAAAUUCCGAUUCAGUGGCGUUAUAUUAAAUUUAGUCGAGGCGACGACUCACCAAGAAGAAUAACCUACAGCGCUGUCUGUCUGUCCUUUGUUGCCUGGCAAUAUUGAGUGAACUAAUCUUUACCAUUCGAUUUGAUUUAAUGAACUACUUUUUUUUUUGCCAUUGGAAUAGUGCAAUGUAAAAAAUGUAGAACCUCCCACCCCGCGGUGUUACCCGCAUAAAUAUUUUUAAAAAACUUUUUAUGCACACUAACGCCAUCUACUUUACAAAGCGCUACUACGACUACCAGACUAUCCGAUUUUUGUACCAAAUCCUACGGGACUCGCGUAGUUUCGUGUUAAAAAGUACUCUAUGUGUUAGGUAAUCCAAAUUAUUAGCUACUACCUAAAUAUUUGUACUUGAUUCCAUAAAAAUCCGCUCAGCCGUUUGAGCGUAAAGAAGUAACAAACACACAAACUUUCACCGUUAUAAUAUUAGUGGAAUUUGGCCACAUCAUGCCGUGGCCAAAUCAUGAAACAUGAAAGAAAAAAUCUUUGUGUCUACAUCAUGUUUACAAAAGGCCUAUAAAAUAUUAAGUAAUGUAAGUGUUUGCAGAAAAUUAUGUACCUAUGUGUAGAGUGAACAAUAAAUGAUAACAAACAA